GACGAACGCUGGCGGCGUGCUUAACACAUGCAAGUCGAGCGGUAAGGCCCUUUCGGGGGUACACGAGCGGCGAACGGGUGAGUAACACGCGGGUGACCUGCCCUCAGCUCUGGGAUAAGCCUGGGAAACCGGGUCUAAUACUGGAUAUGACUCCAUGACGCAUGUUGUGGGGUGGAAAGCCUUGUGCGGCUGAGGAUGGGCCCGCGGCCUAUCAGCUUGUUGGUGGGGNGAUGGCCUACCAAGGCGACGACGGGUAGCCGGCCUGAGAGGGCGACCGGCCACACUGGGACUGAGACACGGCCCAGACUCCUACGGGAGGCAGCAGUGGGGAAUCUUGCGCAAUGGGCGAAAGCCUGACGCAGCGACGCCGCGUGAGGGAUGACGGCCUGGUGUAAC
rnacentral:rRNA from 1 species